AAAUUCUGUGUCAAGAGGAACGGGCGAGGAAUAUACUUUACUAAGCAUUGUAAUCAUUCUUACAUGAACACCAUUUUCCAGGCUUUCAACGUUACCAUCAGAAAGAUGAACUCCAAAUCGGCUACUCAUUCCAUCAUAACCUGAAAUACAUGCAACAUGAACAGGGAAUUUCAUGGUAAACGCAAUUUCCCAGCCAUCUGCUCUCCUGCAAGUUUUGUGGACGCCCAUGAUGAACUAACCUCUAUGAUAAGCAGCCUGCGCCUGAGAUGAGCAUGCAUUUAGUGAAGUAUCAUCCCUGAAAGAAGCAACACUAACAGCAGCCUGCGAAGAAUCAACCAUGAUCCCAUCUGUACCCAAAGGGGACUGAAAAUUGAAGGAACCACCCAUCAAAACAAAGCAUAGCAGGACAAGAAAGAAGCCAUCUGAAGCAACAAAAACAUAAAUGUGCAGGUACCUGAUUGUUCAACAUGGUUGAGUUCCCGGAUUCCUCUCUUCAAGCAAUACGUUAAGUGGUUCAGAUAUGAGCAGGAUUCUAUGAAUCUGUCAACAACAGCAAUCUAAUUAACUUGGCACACCUUCAUGCACAUAAAAACACACGCACAAUGUGGAUGAUUUUCACAAACCAAAUGUAGCUGUAAUGCUGUGACUGGAUAUGGCUAGAUCAACAUCAACCAGACACCCCCAGUUCCAUCAAAAUCCAAAUGAUCUGCCCAUAAAUUAAUAUCCAGAGAAAGCGUGCAAACAAUUUAAUGCAAAAAAUUCUCGUGAUCCUAAAUGUAAUUAACUGUCUAUAAUCUAGUCACCGGACGAAACACGAAGUUAUACGAAGUAAGGAAAUCGUACAUUAUAGAGUCGUAAAGGCGUCCGAUGAUCAAGUUGAGCGGCGACGAGUGGGGGGGGGGGGGGGGGGGGGGG
rnacentral:lncRNA from 1 species